rnacentral:rRNA from 1 species
GACGAACGCUGGCGGCGUGCUUAACACAUGCAAGUCGAACGGAAAGGCCCUGCUUUUGUGGGGUGCUCGAGUGGCGAACGGGUGAGUAACACGUGAGUAACCUGCCCUUGACUUUGGGAUAACUUCAGGAAACUGGGGCUAAUACCGGAUAGGAGCUCCUGCUGCAUGGUGGGGGUUGGAAAGUUUCGGCGGUUGGGGAUGGACUCGCGGCUUAUCAGCUUGUUGGUGGGGUAGUGGCUUACCAAGGCUUUGACGGGUAGCCGGCCUGGGAGGGUGACCGGCAACAUUGGGACUGAGAUACGGCCCAGACUCCUACGGGAGGCAGCGGUGGGGAAUAUUGCACAAUGGGCGGAAGCCUGAUGCAGCAACGCCGCGUGCGGGAUGCCGGCCUUCGGGUUGUAAACCGCUUUCGCAUGUGACGAAGCGUGAGUGACGGUAAUGGGUAAAGAAGCACCGGCUAACUACGUG